GGUAGCUUGCUACCUGACCUAGCGGCGGACGGGUGAGUAAUGCUUAGGAAUCUGCCUAUUAGUGGGGGACAACAUUCCGAAAGGAAUGCUAAUACCGCAUACGCCCUACGGGGGAAAGCAGGGGAUCUUCGGACCUUGCGCUAAUAGAUGAGCCUAAGUCAGAUUAGCUAGUUGGUGGGGUAAAGGCCUACCAAGGCGACGAUCUGUAGCGGGUCUGAGAGGAUGAUCCGCCACACUGGGACUGAGACACGGCCCAGACUCCUACGGGAGGCAGCAGUGGGGAAUAUUGGACAAUGGGCGAAAGCCUGAUCCAGCCAUGCCGCGUGUGUGAAGAAGGCCUUUUGGUUGUAAAGCACUUUAAGCGAGGAGGAGGCUACUUGGAUUAAUACUCUAGGAUAGUGGACGUUACUCGCAGAAUAAGCACCGGCUAACUCUGUGCCAGCAGCCGCGGUAAUACAGAGGGUGCGAGCGUUAAUCGGAUUUACUGGGCGUAAAGCGUGCGUAGGCGGCUUUUUAAGUCGGAUGUGAAAUCCCUGAGCUUAACUUAGGAAUUGCAUUCGAUACUGGGAAGCUAGAGUAUGGGAGAGGAUGGUAGAAUUCCAGGUGUAGCGGUGAAAUGCGUAGAGAUCUGGAGGAAUACCGAUGGCGAAGGCAGCCAUCUGGCCUAAUACUGACGCUGAGGUACGAAAGCAUGGGGAGCAAACAGGAUUAGAUACCCUGGUAGUCCAUGCCGUAAACGAUGUCUACUAGCCGUUGGGGCCUUUGAGGCUUUAGUGGCGCAGCUAACGCGAUAAGUAGACCGCCUGGGGAGUACGGUCGCAAGACUAAAACUCAAAUGAAUUGACGGGGGCCCGCACAAGCGGUGGAGCAUGUGGUUUAAUUCGAUGCAACGCGAAGAACCUUACCUGGUCUUGA
rnacentral:rRNA from 1 species